rnacentral:rRNA from 1 species
AGAGUUUGAUCAUGGCUCAGGAUGAACGCUGGCGGCGUGCCUAACACAUGCAAGUCGAGCGAUUUACUUCGGUAAAGAGCGGCGGACGGGUGAGUAACGCGUGGGUAACCUGCCCUGUACACACGGAUAACAUACCGAAAGGUAUGCUAAUACGAGAUAAUAUGCUUUUAUCGCAUGGUAGAAGUAUCAAAGCUUUUGCGGUACAGGAUGGACCCGCGUCUGAUUAGCUAGUUGGUAAGGCAACGGCUUACCAAGGCGACGAUCAGUAGCCGACCUGAGAGGGUGAUCGGCCACAUUGGAACUGAGACACGGUCCAAACUCCUACGGGAGGCAGCAGUGGGGAAUAUUGCACAAUGGGCGAAAGCCUGAUGCAGCAACGCCGCGUGAGCGAAGAAGGCCUUCGGGUCGUAAAGCUCUGUCCUCAAGGAAGAUAAUGACGGUACUUGAGGAGGAAGCCCCGG